rnacentral:rRNA from 1 species
GCAAGUCGAGCGGUAACAGAUCGCUGUGAUCCCUUCGGGGUGAACUUGAUGCUGACGCGCGGCGGACGGGUGAGUAACGCGUAGGAAUCAACCCAGUAGCGGGGGCCAGCCCGAGGAAACUCGGAUUAAUACCGCAUACGCUCUAAGGGGGAAAGGCGGGGAUCUCUUCGGAGACCUGUCACUAUUGGAGGAGCCUGCGUUGGAUUAGCUUGUUGGUGGGGUAAAGGCUCACCAAGGCUACGAUCCAUAGCUGUUCUGAGAGGAAGAUC